AGUGAACGCUGGCGGUAGGCCUAACACAUGCAAGUCGAAUGGCAGCACAGUAAGAGCUUGCUCUUACGGGUGGCGAGUGGCGGACGGGUGAGGAAUACAUCGGAAUCUACUUUUUCGUGGGGGAUAACGUAGGGAAACUUACGCUUAUACCGCAUACGACCUACGGGUGAAAGCAGGGGAUCUUCGGACCUUGCGCGAUUGAAUGAGCCGAUGUCGGAUUAGCCAGUUGGCGGGGUAAAGGCCCACCAAGGCGACGAUCCGUAGCUGGUCUGAGAGGAUGAUCAGCCACACUGGAACUGAGACACGGUCCAGACUCCUACGGGAGGCAGCAGUGGGGAAUAUUGGACAAUGGGCGCAAGCCUGAUCCAGCCAUACCGCGUGGGUGAAGAAGGCCUUCGGGUUGUAAAGCCCUUUUGUUGGGAAAGAAAAGCAGCAGGUUAAUACCCCGCUGUUCUGACGGUACCCAAAGAAUAAGCACCGGCUAACUUCGUG
rnacentral:rRNA from 1 species